rnacentral:rRNA from 1 species
UGGGGAAUAUUGGGCAAUGGGCGCAAGCCUGACCCAGCAACGCCGCGUGAAGGAUGAAGGUUUUCGGAUUGUAAACUUCUUUUAAGAGGGACGAUAAUGACGGUACCUCUUGAAUAAGCCCCGGCUAACUACGUGCCAGCAGCCGCGGUAAUACGUAGGGGGCAAGCGUUAUCCGGAAUUAUUGGGCGUAAAGAGUGCGUAGGUGGUUCUUUAAGCGCAGGGUUUAAGGCAAUGGCUCAACCAUUGUUCGCCCUGCGAACUGGAGGACUUGAGUGCAGGAGAGGAAAGCGGAAUUCCUAGUGUAGCGGUGAAAUGCGUAGAUAUUAGGAGGAACACCAGUGGCGAAGGCGGCUUUCUGGACUGUAACUGACACUGAGGCACGAAAGCGUGGGGAGCAAACAGGAUUAGAUACCCUGGUAGU